CUUUCUGUGCAGAGUUUGCAUGUUCUCCCCUUGUUUGUAUGGGUUUGCUCCAAUUACCUUUCACAUUUAAAGACAUGCAGAUUAGGUGAAUUGGAAACUUUCUAAUUGUCCAGGUCUCCCUUGCAAAAGAGGUCUUGAUAUCAAUGAGCCUAAGAUGGUUAUAUAUAAAGGUUAAAAACCAGGUUCACAAAAUGUAAACAAGAGUCGUAAUAUUGUUUAUGGUGCCGAGGAGGUGUGUGAGACUGCAGCUUUUGCAUCAAUGCUUGAUAUGAGAAAUAUAUUUUAAUGUAUCAAAAACAUGACGUGAUUGGCAAAAACUAACACCAGAUUUGGAUUCAGCGCCCCAAAAUAAAUAAAUAAAGGAUUGAUUGAUUGAAAUGACCCAAAAUCUGUUGGAAAAACUGCAUGCAAGAUAAAUUGUGUUGACCAGUGUUAUUUAAUAGUUUUUCAGUUGCCACAAGAAAUAAUUUAUUUUGUUUUCUAGAAACGAGACUGAUAAAAGGUCAGC